CUCUUAUCAAGAGAGGUGGAGGGAUGUGCCCGAUGAAGCCCGGCAACCGUCAAUGUUUAUUGAAAUGGUGCCAAUUCACACAAAGCUUUUAGCUUUGGCAGAUGAGAG
rfam:Bacillus infantis NRRL B-14911, complete genome.